UUAUCCACCCAUUUUAGCCUCUCGUGACCACUCUCUCUCGUGACCCCUAUUCCCAAGAGAACUCCCCAGACCCUCACCCUCUCUCUCCCCAAACCCUCACCCCGUCGGAGACCCUCCCUCCUUCCUCUCUCGACACCGUCGCUGACGUAUUUCCACUGUCGACCUCCUCCUCCGACUCUGCCCCAACUCCCCAGACCCUCACCCAUUUUCUGCGCUGCGGCGAUCACGCCGUCGAGCUCCUCCUCUGUGAUCUAGGCAUUGACCUCCUCCUCCGCCUUCACCUAUCCUCCUCCACGAUCUCACUGUCGAGCUCCUCCUCCGUGAUCUCGCCAUCGAGCUCCUCAGGUGAAAUCCCCAUCCCGUCCCAGGCCAAAACGAGGUCCCUCUGCUCCCUUCCUCCUCAGCAAGCCCCAACGCCGGCACGACACCGUAGUCGUGAGGUCCCCCCGUCCCAGGACCAAAUCGAGGUCCCUCUGCUCCCCCCCUCCUCCUCCGCGAGCACCAACGACACUGUGAUCUCUCAGGUUAUCCAUAGCAAGAAAGCGUUUUUAUAUUGUGAAGAGAGGUCGACAAUGUGGUAUUUUUUUAUAAUUGGGAGGAAUGUAAAUUCGCUGUAGAUAAAUUUCCAAAUACCUCCUACAAAGGGUUUGCAACGUACGAAGAGACUUUGAUUGAAUGGGAGAAGCACACCAUCGAUCGUGAUUCAACAUCCAACUCAAGGCCUGUCCAGACACCGGUUCAAUUUUAACAACAAAUAUUUCUGGAGCAGCAUAAUCUAGAUAAGGACAAGAAAAAAUUUAGAGAAACUGUUAUUUCCCCGAUCUAUGUUUUUUUAUUAUGUUCAAUGUUUACAAUAUUAAUAUUUGUAGUAUGUAUCGUUGCAGUAUUUGUUGGCUUCUCCAUUGUAAAAAGUAUGUGAUGUGAUUUGUAAGUUGUUAUGUGAUGUAAUAUUUAUGCAUCUUAUAUUUAGGACUUUAGUUGCGAGGGGAAAACAGCCUAAUACUUCUUGUUGUGUAAAUUUGUGUAAAUUUGUUUUUUA